AAUAACCCGGCGAAAGUCGGACUAAUACCGUAUAAUAUCCUAUGCAGGCAUCUAACUAGGAUUAAAGGUUUAGCGGUAAGGGAUGGGGAUGCGUCUGAUUAGGCAGUUGGCGGGGUAACGGCCCACCAAACCGACGAUCAGUAGGGGUUCUGAGAGGAAGGUCCCCCCACAUUGGAACUGAGACACGGUCCAAACUCCUACGGGAGGCAGCAGCC
rnacentral:rRNA from 1 species